CUAAGCCAGUAAGCAGCACCCCUCAGUGGCUUCUACUUCCAGCUUCCUGCCCUGUUUGAGUUCCUGUCCUGACUUCCUUCAGCGAUUGACAGUGAUAUGGAAGCAGUCUCCAAGAAGAACUGACUUUCAAAUUGAGACCUGAGGCACUAAUUAACCAGCCAUAGGUAGAUUACCUUUGCCCACUGAAGGAUGCAUCUUUGGCUUUGAGGAUCAAAGGGGAAGCUGCCAGCCCUGUCAAGGCAUUAGGGUUAUUUGAAGAGUAGAGGGAGCCUCACGGGAGAGAAGCCAGAGCAAAAGUGACUUGAAGAAUGGGAAGAUAAGAACAGCUUACAUACAGGACAUUCCAGUGAUACUUAAAUACCACGACCUCUGAACUACAAGGU